UACAUUUCCCGCCUUUGAGUAUCUCCCGCGGGUAAAUUGAACCAAUAAGAUAACAGAAAGAUAGAAACGCCCAAUUUGGGCGCAGCGGCUGGGUCUCUCCCUCCUAAUUGCGCCCAUCUUUAAAAGAUACAGGGUUCUCGGUCGAGGAAAAGAUCCCUCUGAAGAAGCAGAAAGUUCUGCGAAACGUCAGGGCUUUGCUAACAGGACUUCACAGUGGAUUUUAACAUUGCUUGGCUUUUAAUCACCUUUUUGAUUUUAACCAAUAUAAUUAAAAGUUACGUUUUAGAAUUAAGAUGUGGAGGGGUAAGGGGGAGCUCAUUGUCUAAAGGUGCACAGACACUUGGGGAAACAAUUGGGAUUUUAAACCUGUGGGACCAGAUUUUUUAACAGGAUUGGACCCAGAAAGAACAACUGAUUACUGCCCCAGCCUUUGAAUUCGGGAACCCUAAGAAACAAUCGGUACACCUCAUCUCCAUCUCUAUAUGGCAAUAACCCGGUCUGCAAAGAACACGGCGAAAGAUCAACGGAUCACAGCCCCAGCCCUGGAGUUCGGGAACAUCAAGAAACAACCAUAACCUCAUCUCUACCUUCAUACUUCAAUAAACCCGGCAGACAAAAUAACAAGGCGGAGGCGCCAGGCAAGGGGUACAGACAAGGACAGGGCAAUUCAAGGGGCACAUGACGAGGACUAAAGGGCAAGACAAUGGGCAACACCCCAAAGCUCCCAAAUCCGAACC